GUGAAACCGCGAAUGGCUCAUUAAAUCACACCUAAUCUACUGGAUAGUUAACAGUUACUUGGAUAACUGCGGUAAUUCUGGAGCUAAUACAUGCACGAAGCCUCGAACUUACGUGAGAGGCGCUUUUAUUAGAUCAAAACCAAACGUUUUCGAACGUUUCUUUGGUGACUCUGAAUAACUUUGGGCUGAUCGCACAGCCUUGCGCUGGCGACAUAUCCUUCGAAGGUGUGCCCUAUCAACUGUCGACUGUGGCAUAGACGCCCACAGUGGUUUUGACGGGUAACGGGGAAUCAGGGUUCGAUUCCGGAGAGGGAGCCUUAAAAACGGCUACCACAUCUAAGGAAGGCAGCAGGCACGCAAAUUACCCAAUGACCGAAGGUCGAGGUAGUGACGAAAAAUAACGAUACGGGACUCAUCCGAGGCCCCGUAAUCGGAAUGAGUACACUUUAAAACCGUCCCCGAGGAUCUAUUGGAGGGCAAGUCUGGUGCCAGCAGCCGCGGUAAUUCCAGCUCCAAUAGCGUAUAUUAAAGUUGUUGUGGUUAAAAAGCUCGUAGUUGGAUCUCCACAGUCUGAGGUUGGUGAACUUGCUAGUUCUACUGCCCUAUAGACUGUAGUUUUGCCAGAGGUGUUUGGGUGCUCUUAAUCGAGUGUCCUAAUAUGCUGGCAGGUUUACUUUGAAAAAAUUAGAGUGCUCAAAGCAGGCUUUUAUGCCUGAAUAUUCGUGCAUGGAAUAAUAGAAUAGGAAGUCGUUUCUAUUUUGUUGGUUUUUAAGUUUCGACUUAAUGAUUAAUAGGGACAAACGGGGGCAUUUGUAUUCAAACGACAGAGGUGAAAUUCUUGGACCGUUUGAAGACAAACUACUGCGAAAGCAUUUGCCAAGAGUGUUUUCAUUAAUCAAGAACGAAAGUUAGAGGUUCGAAGGCGAUUAGAUACCGCCCUAGUUCUAACCAUAAACGAUGCCAGCUAGCGAUCUGCCGACGUUUUUUUUUGUAGACUCGGCAGGAAGCUUCCGGGAAACCAAAGCAUUUGGGUUCCAGGGGAAGUAUGGUUGCAAAGCUGAAACUUAAAGGAAUUGACGGAAGGGCACCACCAGGAGUGGAGCCUGUGGCUUAAUUUGACUCAACACGGGAAAUCUCACCAGGCCCGGACACUGGAAGGAUUGACAGAUUGAUAGCUCUUUCUUGAUUCGGUGGGUGGUGGUGCAUGGCCGUUCUUAGUUGGUGGAGUGAUUUGUCUGGUUAAUUCCGAUAACGAACGAGACUCUGUCCUGCUAAAUAGUGCCGGCUUCUCUUUUGAGCCGGCAAUUCUUCUUAGAGGGACUGGCAACUCUCAGUUGCACGAGAUUGAGCAAUAACAGGUCUGUGAUGCCCUUAGAUGUUCUGGGCCGCACACGCGCUACACUGAAUAGAUCAGCGUGUACUCCCUCUCUGAGAAGAGCGGGUAAACCGCUGAACCCUAUUCGUGGUAGGGAUCGGGGCUUGCAAUUGUUCCCCGUGAACCAGGAAUUCCCAGUAGGCGCAAGUCAUAAGCUUGCNUCGAUUACGUCCCUGCCCUUUGUACACACCGCCCGUCGCUACUACCGAUUGAACGUUUU
rnacentral:rRNA from 1 species